UACGAACUGCGCGAACGUUAUUCGGAAUCACUGGGCUUACAGGGUGCGUAGGCGGCGUGGAAAGUAGGGUGUGAAAUGCCUUGGCUCAACCAAGGCACAGCGCUCUAAACUACCGCGCUGGAGUGAGUCAGGGGUGCGCGGAACUUCCGGUGGAGCGGUGAAAUGUGUUGAUAUCGGAAGGAACACCGGUGGCGAAAGCGGCGCACUGGGGCUCAACUGACGCUGAUGCACGAAAGCCAGGGUAGCGAACGGG
rnacentral:rRNA from 1 species